AUUGAACGCUGGCGGCAUGCCUUACACAUGCAAGACGAACGGUAACGGGCCUUCGGGUGCCGACGAGUGGCGAACGGGUGAGUAAUGUAUCGGAACGUACCUUUCAGUGGGGGAUAACGUAGCGAAAGUUACGCUAAUACCGCAUAUUCUGUGAGCAGGAAAGCAGGGGAUCGCAAGACCUUGCGCUGAUUGAGCGGCCGAUAUCAGAUUAGCUAGUUGGUGAGGUACAGGCUCACCAAGGCGACGAUCUGUAGCGGGUCUGAGAGGAAGAUCAGCCACACUGGAACUGAGACACUGUCCAGGCUCCUACGUGAGGCAGCAGUGGGGAAUUUUGGACAAUGGGGGCAACCCUGAUCCAGCCAUGCGGCGUGAGUGAAGAAGGCCUUCGGGUUGUAAAGCUCUUUCGGCCGGGAAGAAAUCGUAUCAGCUAAUACCUGGUGCGGAUGACGGUACCGGCAUAAGAAGCACCGGCUAACUACGUGCCAGCCGCCGCCGUAACAC
rnacentral:rRNA from 1 species